rnacentral:lncRNA from 1 species
AUGCAAUUAUCCCUUGAUUUAAUGUAUGUUUUGCAUGAAAGAACAGUCAGGGACUAUCUGGACAAAGUGAUCUGACAAUUUUUUCAUUUCAUCUAUAUUACUGUCAACAUUUGUUAUUCAAAAUAUUUUUGAAUGUCAUGCAGUUAGUAUUCACUAAUCUUAAAAUAGCUAAUACUCAUAGAAAGAGAUUUUAUUUAUCUAGCCAUUAUUCAUCAAUGUCCAUGAAACUUUAAUACGAUGCUAAGUGCUAACAUAACCAAUCGACUGAAAAGAUGUUUCAAAUCACCAAGUACAAGAAAUUUCCCCCCACUGAGAGCUGGAAACAUUGACUGGGGGACAAUUUUCACCAUCCCGUAAUGGAUGAAUAAAUGGAUCACAUUCACCGGAAGAAGCUAUUCACACUUGCCUUUGAGUCUCAAGGUAAAUGCCUGUAAGGACAAUAGAACUGCCCCGAGUUUCUGCUUGGUUUCUUCAUCUGUCAGCACACCAUCACUGUCAAACUUCGCUGGUGGCUAGAACGCGUUCAAGAAAAAUUCGGGUUUGUUAAUGAAAUGAAGAUCAAGGUAGACUCCUAUCUGUCGAAGGUGGAGAAUUGCCUUGAGUUUCUGCUUGGUUUCUUCAUCUGUCAGAACACCAUCACUGUCAAACUUCGAUGGUGGCUGGAACGCGUUCAGGAAAAAUUCAGGUUUGUUAAUAAAAUGAAGAUCAAGGUAGACUCCUAUCUGUCGAAGGUGAUAUUGUGCUCGUCCUCCACCAAAGCCACCUCCAGCACUCACGAUUGCUGCUGCUUUAUCAGCCCAAACAUUUGGAGGUCUAGAUGCCCAAUCAAUUGCAUUUUUCAAGGGUCCUACCCAAGGAGCAGGAAAUGAUAGUUCAGUAGUACCAAGAGUAUUACCACAAGAAGCAAAAUCCUUCAUACUAUUUGCACUGAUGUAUUAACAAAUAACAAUGUAACAAUGUAACAAUGUGCGUCUAUAAUGUGUACGAGGAUUGUCUACAAACUAAUCUAGUAACCUAUUGCUACUUGCAUGUCCAGAUUCUAAUUGAUGCUUUUAAACUACAGGGCUUGGAUCCAACCUAGGCAACCAAAAUCCUCCAUUCGUAUUAAACUGUACAGGCUAUGAUUACUUCAACUCUUAUGGUCCGCCCAUUACCAUAGCAGAUAAUUAGACUCCCAUGCUACUCCUAUGUAGUUGAUUUCUUAAACAGACCGGAAAUAGUAGCUAACAGACACAUAAAACCCAAUGGUACUAACUAGAAGUGGCAGAAUGGUUAAAAGAAAACAGUUAUCUACCCAUAUUAUCUAUUACAAAAUGGGUUGGAUAAUGUACCUUUUAAAAACAGGUCGAAUAUGGGUAAGAUCCAUAUUAUCCACUUAGAAAAUGGUUAACCAAUAGAUAGUUAAUGUGCUUAACUAUUCCAACCCAUAGGUGUGAGCAUUUGAGAAAUUGUUAACUUAGAUUCUUGUAAAGUUAGAGGGCCUUGAAUCAUGGAACGAAUUGUUGUGCCCAGCCUUCCUCAAGUUUGGGAGACUAGGAAUUCUCCUAUCAGUGAUCACAUUAAAGAAGCUAUAGAUAAUAUGAGUAUUCAUAUUGUUCGCCGGAUAACCCAUUUUUUAUCCAUCUCAAAUACGGAUCGGGUCGGAUAAUUUAUCCGUUUUUUGAAUUACAUGUUUUGACCCGCUCAUAUCUGACUUGACCCGCCCGUUUUCCACCCCUAGGCACAACACAUUUAACACUCAAUUUUCCAACCAAAAGAACAAAAGAGAAGAAAAACCAAAUAUUCGUCAUAUCAACCUGAAAGAUGAGCUGUGAAGAUAUCUUUCGAGCACCUUAAGUUGAAAAGUUCUUUGGAAAUAUUGCAAAUGUCCACAGAUGUUAGACGUUAAGUUCUAGCUAUAACCACAUUUAUUAGUAAAAAUUGUUUUACAGCCAAAUACAUUUAGAUAUUCGUAUCAAGUUGUUAAUUUUGCUCUUAUUGAUCUCUUAAAGAAGAUCAUCCUACCAAUAGCCUGUGUGAGAUAAAUAUCUUGGAUAAUAUAUAUAUUCAUGUUAAUAUCAUUUUGUGCUAAUGAGAAACUUUUUCUAUAGUUUUCACCAUGCACAGCUUAUUUGCUAUCACUUUUUAUAAAAGAAGCAUCUUCCCUGUUCAACCUCCAUCAAUAAAAGCUAAAGUUGCACAGAAUAAAUCGGCAUACUUAAUUAGCUUUAGUGAUCAUGGGUCCUAAUUCACACCAAAACCACUAAUCAAAUCACCCAUAUAGAACAAUUAUUGUCACUUUGCUAGCUUUCAACUUUUUCUUAGUCCUCUUUCCCUUUAUUUCUUUCUAGUAUUCAAAGCUCUGUGCUGACCAGAUAAGCAUCAUAAAUCAUCAUGCUUGGUGUACAAUUUUUCAGAUUCUCCGUGCAAAGCAGUCGAAAUAACACUAAAUUGAUUAGAUCCGGAUUCCAAAACAAUUAAAAUAUAAAUUAGUAAUGUCAAUCCAUAGUUAGCACCCAAUGAAGAUUAAAGAAUAGCUAUACUCAUGUUCAGAUUUCUAGAGCCGAACUAAUUAUUAUACGAGGAACCUUGCUACUUACUCUAAUUUUUGCGCAGAUUUUGAGUAUCAAAGUAAGAUUUUCAAAACGAGUAAUCAUUUAAAGUCUAAAUUAGCUUCAAAAUAGUUAAGUGGAGCAUCAGUUAGAUGAAAGUGGAAAAAAAAGGGGUAAAAUUAGGAGGGGAAGAAAAAUGGAAUACCAG